UCUACUCCACAGAAAUUGAUACAGAAGCAACGAACAAAUAUUGAGAUGACCAAAAUAACCAUCAAAUAUCCCUUCGAAUUCAUUUAUCUUUCCAAGCGUUCUCUACUUGAAUACCUCGUUCAGUUCCACAGCAAUGGCGGCCCUGGAGGCAGCACCAGCAUACUCCAUUUUCUCUUCCCACUCUCCCUCCUUUUCUAAAUUCCCACCAUGCCCAAAAUCUUCGCCGUCUGCAAGGCUCCACAUUUCCGCUUCCAAGCCUAGUUUUUCCGUCAAAUUCCUUCCUUUCCCCCUUCCUCUUCUCUCCAUCAACCCAUCCAGAAAAUUAGCAGGCUUUGAAGUUUUCUCAAUGGUGGAGGACAUUGCAGUGGAAGAGAAUCCAGAGAAAACGACCCAAUCCCCAAAUCAGAGGAGAAAGCUGUUCGUGCUCAAUUUGCCGUGGUCUUUCACGGUUGAUGAUAUCAAAAACCUAUUCGGUGAAUGCGGAACCGUUGCAGAUGUUGAGAUUAUCAAGCACAAGGAUGGCAAGAACAGGGGGUUUGCAUUCGUCACGAUGUCUAAUGGUGAAGAAGCUCAGGCCAUCAUAGAUAAAUUCGACGCUCAUGAAUUAUCGGGUAGGAUUAUUAGGGUUGAGUUUGCAAAGAGGUUAAAGAAACCAUCACGUCCUCCGCCUGCAGUUCCCCCAGCUGGAGAAACACGUCAUAAGCUGUAUGUGUCUAAUCUUGCAUGGAAAGUGAGGUCCAGCCAUCUGAGAGAAUUUUUCUCUACCAAUUUUAAUCCAGUUUCAGUUAGAGUUGUCUUCGAAAGCCCUUCAGGAAGAUCUGCUGGGUAUGGGUUUGUCUCAUUUGCCACCAAGGAGGAAGCAGAGUCUGCAAUUUCUGUUUUGGAUGGGAAGAUCAGCGACAGAGGCUAUGAUCCUCUUAAUCUUCCUAAUGCAGGAAUUAAUGGACCGACCAGUUCGAUUGAAGUUCAGUGAAAAGAAUAUUCAGGACUCUACAGAUGGAAAGGAACAGGAAGGCACUUCAGACGAACCUCAACAGAUAUGAUCAAUGGAUUUACUUACUAGUUGAAACCAGAGAAAGAGAACCCUAAAAGUUGCAACAGAGGCAACAGCAUAUCCUUAUCAUCAUUAACUGAAGUUGAAUCCACAAAAGGAUAAGGGCAGAUGACUGGAAGGAUGCUGGACACUGUUUUCCAUCUGUUCUUAGUAAAAGAACAGUAAAAGAACAGGUGGAAUGAGUCAGAAUUUCUUGGCUUUUCUUCCCCUUUGUAGCCAUGAAAAUUAAAGGGAUUAUCAUGAUUAUCACUGUGCUACAGUUGCUGCUUAUUCUUGCCUUGCUGCUGCCGUCAUUCAUCUAGGCAUUUGCAUUUCCAGAUUUUGUUUCAUCAUGAUCCAUACGUAUCGUUGGCUUUAUAAAGCUGUUCACUGAGAUUUUCUACCAAUGAGUCCCACUACUGCAGACUUUGUUCUUAUCAUUCAGCUUGGACUUGCCUUUUUCAAAUAUGACCAUUGAUACACAAUUUUUACAUAAAAAUUACUAUUAAAAUGCUACCUUACAAUAUUAUUUUCUUUUCUUGUUAGCAUCAAUGUUUAUCAGCUCCUUGCCCUUCAGCGUAAGUAAAGUUGUAUGCUUUUGCUUUUAGUCACACAAGCUGUAUUCUUAAAUGUCUUUCCAAUCCAUGGAAGAUCACUCUAUCGAAGACUUCUGGAAAU